AUGUGCGCUUUGGGCUGUUCGAUAUGCACGCCGCCGCCGCUGCUCGCCCGCCGUUCGUCCCCACGACGGAAGCUUCUAGAACCCCACCAGCCGCCGCGGACGCGCCUCUGCCUGCUCCCGGCGUUCCCCGUUCCCAUCGCGCGUUACGGGCGCCAGCCUCCUACACCGCGACGCACUGCACUGCACUGGCCGUGAGAGACCGGUGGGCCUGGAACUUUGGAUCGCAUUGUGCUGCUGAGUGGUGGCCUAGUCCUGGAGUCGCAGCGGCGAACGGAUUGUAACCAGCUUCUGUGCAUGUAUCAGUGAUCUCCUGGAGUUCUCCAGCAACUGAGCAUCAAACCGAGAGGCAGCAUGGAUGGUAUCUCUCUGCAGAGUUGAAGACAGGAAGAUUAGGUGGAAUAAAACAGUAUAUGACACUCUUGAAAUAAAGCUCUUGCUUCUAUGCAUGUGAACACGUGUGGCCGUACACAUUCAGGUAUAUCUACAUGCAUUUAAUUAGCCAGAGUUUUCAUGUGUAUAUGAACAUGCACCUUAAGCCAUUAGGAGUCCAGAGCCAGGACAUGCUAGUGGCAUAUCUAUAAGCAUGCUGUGAUUUGUUUUUCAGCCUAUCCUGGCCUACAAUCUAUAAGGUGCAUAUGUAUUACGGUACAGACAAGUUCACAUGAUUCUUACUUCCAUUUCCGUUUCUUAUUUCAAUCCUUAUGUAAAGCCAGGCAGGAAUAUCAACAAUCACAGAAUGACAAAACAAAUCAUGAAAGGUAUUUGGAAGAGUACGUACAAAGUUCCUGGUACGGCAACUUCCCUGGACAACCAGGUUUGUCAUGUUACCAAUGAGGUAUGCCGUCAAUCCCAGGUUAAAUAGCAUGAAACAUAUGCAAAAUGACAUUUCUCUUGGAUUCUCCGCAUGUAAAUCGCCAUAACCAGUUGUUGUGAGUGUUGUAAUAGACCAAUAAAUUGCUGUCACAUAUCGAACCCAUAGACUCUCUGAUCUGUAGUUUGGUAUUGCUGCUCCUAUCCAGGUUCUUGAUGGAUCGGGGUAUGUAUCAGCUAUUAAGUAAAUGAAACAUCCUGAACAAUGUAUUGCAAAAAGAGUAACCUGCAAUGCUCAGUCAAACAUGCAGAGCUAUGUUUCAUUCAUCAGGGCAGUAAUACAUCAAUUUGUUUCAUACUUGGAGAGGAGAGGACGCAAACUUACAGAAAUUAGUUUGGUGCACCUUAUCCAGUAGUAGUUCAAUCGGAUAUCCUUUUCAAGCCUAGAGGGGGCGAUUUACCUUAGUAAUUUUCAGUUCUCUUAUUUUCAAGUUUCAAAUAAUAAAAAGACACAUACCUGGCAAAUAAAGCACUGAGGCGUCGGAGACGCCAUAAUCGAAGCAUGUUAAGUGUCCUAUAGGCAAGGCCAUUUCCAUGCUUGUUAAAGAGUAGCCCAAACGGUUGAUAUGGAAUCGUGGAACAGACGUCAAGAAUGAACCAGGAAGAGAGAUAUCUGUGUACAGCCUCAUGUCAGUGUUGUCCAAAUUGGUAGCUUUGCACAUGUGCUUUACCAUUAAGAAUGACAGGCUGAGAAUAGUUGAGGUGCAAGUACCAACCUAGCUGCAAUCCUUUUUGGAUUAUCCACUAGAAGAUAAGACUUGUGAUCGAGAUACGCUAGAAAAAAGGUGAGAAUAAUAUCAAUUGCGAAGAAGCUGUUGACAAUGUUCUCAACUAGGAAAAGCUUCCACGAGAGAUGUCUCAGAAAUGCUAGCUCAAACGGGUAGAUCCAUGCUGAAUAAACAACGAGCACAAGCAAGAACGUUUCCCAGAUCCUGCAGACCCACAAGAGUGGAAGAUUAGACUGUAUUUGUGUACACAUAAUGCGAGAGAAAGUAAAGAUUGCGAUUUUACCUGUAACGGGAAUCGUAGGGAGAAAUGAUGAAUUUUCUCAACUUGAUAGAUUGGUUUGCUCUUGCUCCUAGAGAUGGGAGCAGGUCAUUGUGGAAGAUGUUGCUAAUAUUAUCCAUUGUAGUAUCUAUGAAGAAGCAGGGCGUAUCUUACUGUCGAUCCCAGUUCCUACAGGCUAUUUGGAUUAUUGAAGAGGAUUUUAAUCUUGGCAUGCCUUUGAACCUUCAUGGAUGGUACUAUUCUGUGUUGAAGUAUUGGUUGUCAGAAUAAAUAAGAGUUUGGCUUGGCUCCAAGAAAGAAGAGGAUGGAGGAAGGAACGGAAGUGAGAUCCUUGAUGUGGCCAUUAAAAGAUAGUGACCUUUUAUUUGUUCUUUUUUGUUUCUACCUGAAAAUAAGCAAACAAGUGGUCUGAGUUCACUGUUCAUGGUUAUGGUAGGUUCGCUAUUAAGGGCUGUAACUGUUUUGGUGUACCAUUACCGAGUGUGGUCAGGGUUUAGGAGACGAUGUUUGCAGUCCUUUGGGAAGUAUUUCUUUUUAGAUUUGACAGACAAAUUGCAGAAUUAUAGGCAUAAUCAAUUAGAAGUUAAAAAUUUGGAAGUUCAUAUGAUGAAAUAUCAUUUUCUGUAAUUCACCCAUUAACUUUGUCUGUAGGGCGGGACUCCAUAGUAGUGAAGUGAAACUUUAGUCCGUAAAAAGAAUACGCUUUGCUGCCUGCGUAAAGUCAUGAUAUAUGCUACUCCCUCCGAUCCAAUUAAUUGACUCAACCUCUAUACAAUGUCUUACUAAAAUUGUAUAGGGAUUGCAUCAUUUAAUUCGGAACAGAGGGAGUACUAAUCUUGCCGUGAAGUUAAUUGGAAGCAUUUUACUGGCCUCUGAAAUGAAAAACUGGAUAUAACAUUCUAGUUGAAGAUAAAGCAUUGUUAUGAUUAAUUUCUCGCAAGGGUCCUGGGCUAAUUGGAAAAUUAAAAUCUUGCCCCGCCGCAAAGAUUAGUUUACACUAUGAGAAUAGGGGAUUUAAUAAUACUUCUCUUUGGCUGCUUAGCUAACCAGAAAUGUUUCCAUUUGCUUUUAUUUUGUGAUGCUGUCGAAGUAACAACAUGAAGUGAGCUUAAAUGCUGUUACAGCUCUUAGCAUCCUUUCCCAUGCUCUGCAUGUUAGGAGUUAUGUUGUAUACUUCUGGUCAGUAGAUAGGUCUAUUCAAUAUGCCUGGGACCAUUUUUUGGAAAUAAUAAAGGCCAGUCACCACUAUCAUUACUUUCUGAUCCUUGAGCAAUCUAAUAAUGUGUGAGACAUUAAACAUUUUUUCUCGUUGACCACAGGUAAAGAACCUUGUGUUAUUUGGGUCGUUUCAUAUUUCAUAUAUCCACUCUUCUGAAAAUCAAAAUAAUAAGAAUAUACUCCAUGGUUGUAGAUGUUUCAUGCACCUUGCGACGCACAGCUGUUACUGGAAACUUUCAACCACUUGAAAUUGACCAUGUCUUGCUUAUUUGCCUUGGCGGGUUUGCUGGGAGUAUCAAGAAAGAAAUAGCCUGCUUUCUGGAGCCUGUGAGCAAAUGUGCAAGUUGCAUGGCUUGAGCUUAGCCUGCCUCACAAAGUCACAAUCCACUGACUUCCAUCACGGGCUUCCUGGGAGCUUUGCAUCUUGCUGACACCUGUGCCCGACACUUUUCAACUUUCAUCACGUGUGGCUAUUUGAUGAUCACCUUUCUUUCUUAUGUCAUCCUCAGGUUUUGCUAACAUGUGAACUUGCGUUUUUAUAUAGAUCGGCAUCUGGAAAUGAUUUGGUUUUCGUUUACUUCCAUGCACAGAAAUGCCAGUUCGUGGGGAAUGGAGAUGAUUCUGGGAUCUACCCGCCCCAUUUUUGCGCAGAGUCGUGGCUUCCAUGUUAACCAGCAGGACCCCUAUGUGUGUGACAAAUUUAUGAACUAGUGACCGGCUGGGUUAGGUUUCAGCUUGUAGAUUUUGCGUGUGAUUAAGGUUUUGCCGUUUUGGAAAUGGAAACCGAUGUAACUAGUUACUGGCAAGACUGCAGUGGAUUAUCUCUUGAAAAGACGUAACGAUCAGGUUUUGACUGAGUUGAUCCUGAUCUAUUUA